rnacentral:tRNA from 1 species
UAAGAUAUAGUUCAGUGGUAGAGUGCAUGCUUAGCAUGCACGAGGUCCUGGGUUCAAGCCUCAGUACCUCGA